AUGCACUCGCAGAACCACUGGGGCGGGUCGUUCGAGAUCACAGAUCCAUCGGAGGUUGAAGACAAUCACAGCCGCAACAUGGACAUCGACCCAGGCGCGCUGCAGCAGCGCCAGCUAGACGAGACGCAGCAGAGCUGGCUGCUCGGCCCGCCUGAGACCAAGAAGAAGGACAAGUACAUCGACCUGGGCUGCGUCCUGGUCAAGCGCAAGCUCCUCUGGUCGAUGCUCGGGGCCGUCCUCGGCGCCUUCCUCCUCAUCGGCCUCCCCAUCAUCAUCGCCAAGUCCAUCCCCAAGAAGCCGUCCCGAGCGCCGGCCCCGGACAAGUACACCCAAGCGCUCCACAAGGCGCUCCUAUUCUUCGACGCCCAGAAAUCCGGCAAGCUUCCUAAGAAGAACGGCAUCCCGUGGCGCGGGAACUCCGGCCUGAAGGACGGGUCGGAUCUGAGGGACGUGAAGGGCGGCCUCGUCGGAGGCUACUACGAUGCCGGCGACAACAUCAAGUUCCACUUUCCGAUGGCUUUCUCCAUGACGCUACUGAGCUGGUCCGUAGUGGAGUACAGCGACAGGUACAAGGCUAUCGGUGAGUAUGACCACGUCCGGGAACUCAUCAAGUGGGGAACCGACUAUCUGCUUCUCACCUUCAACUCAUCUGCAUCAACCAUCAAUAAAAUCUACAGUCAGGUGGGUAUCGCGAAGGUGAACGGAAGCAAGCCGGACGACCACUACUGCUGGAACCGGCCAGAGGACAUGACGUAUGCCCGCCCCGUACAGGAGUGCAACGCGGGGCCAGACCUGGCGGGCGAGAUGGCGGCGGCGCUGGCGGCGGCCUCCAUCGUGUUCCGUGACCACGCCGCCUACUCGAGGCGGCUGGUCCGGGGCGCGGCGACGGUGUACAAGUUCGCGCGCGACGGCGGGAAGCGCAGCCCCUACUCCCGCGGCAACGAGUACAUCGAGUACUACUACAACUCCACGGGGUACUGGGACGAGUACAUGUGGAGCGCGGCGUGGAUGUACUACGCCACCGGGAACAACAGCUACAUCAGCUUCGCCACCGACCCGCGGCUCCCCAAGAACGCCAAGGCCUUCUUCGGCAUCCUCGACUUCUCCGUCCUCAGCUGGGACAACAAGCUCCCGGGGGCCACGCUGCUGCUGUCGCGCCUCCGCAUGUUCCUCAACCCCGGCUACCCCUACGAGGAGUCGCUCCGGGGGUACCACAACAUCACCGGCGUCAACAUGUGCAUGUACUUCCCGCGGUUCGGGGUCUUCAACUUCACCCGCGGCGGCCUCGCGCAGUUCAACCACGGCGACGGCCAGCCGCUGCAGUACGCCGUCGCCAACUCCUUCCUCGCCGCGCUCUAUGCCGACUACAUGGAGUCCGUCAACGUCCCCGGAUGGUACUGCGGCCCCAACUUCAUGACCCUCAACGACCUCCGCUCCUUGGCCAAGUCCCAGCUCAACUACAUCCUUGGCGAUAACCCCAGGAAGAUGAGCUACGUGGUGGGCUACGGCAAAAGGUACCCGAGGCGGCUGCACCACCGGGGGGCCUCCACGCCGAACAACGGCGUCAGGUACUCCUGCACCGGCGGCAACAAGUGGCGCGACGCCAAGGGGAAGGACCCACACGUGCUCACGGGGGCGAUGGUCGGUGGGCCCGACAAGCACGACAAGUUCAAGGACGCGCGGAUCAGCUACGCACAGAACGAGCCCACACUGGUGGGCAAUGCCGGCCUCGUCGCCGCUCUCGUCGCCAUCACUAGCAGCGGCCGCGGCUUGGGCGUCCGCGCCGUCGACAAGAACACCAUGUUCACCGCCGUGCCGCCCAUGUUCCCCGCUGCUCCGCCGCCGCCGGCCACCUGGAAGCCGUGA
rnacentral:rRNA from 1 species